rnacentral:rRNA from 1 species
UACGAAGGGGGGCUAGCGUUGUUCGGAAUCACUGGGCGUAAAGCGCACGUAGGCGGAUUGUUAAGUCGGGGGUGAAAUCCUGAGGCUCAACCUCAGAACUGCCUUCGAUACUGGCAAUCUCGAGUCCGGAAGAGGUUGGUGGAACAGCUAGUGUAGAGGUGAAAUUCGUAGAUAUUAGCUAGAACACCAGUGGCGAAGGCGGCCAACUGGUCCGGUACUGACGGCUGAGGUGCGAAAGCGUGGGGAGCAACAGG